rnacentral:rRNA from 1 species
CACAUGCAGUCGAACGAUAUUUCCAGCUUGCUGGGAAGAAAGUGGCGCACGGGUGCGUAACGCGGUAUCGCACCUACCUUGAUCAGGGGGAUAGCCCGAAGAAAUUCGGAUUAACACCGCAUAAAAACACAGUACAGCAUUGUACAAUGUUCAAAUAUUUAUAGGAUCAAGAUGGGCAUGCGUGACAUUAGUUAGUUGGCGGGGUAACGGCCCACCAAGACCACGAUGUCUAGGGGAUCUGAGAGGAUGACCCCCCACACUGGUACUGAGACACGGACCAGACUCCUACGGGAGGCAGCAGUAAGGAAUAUUGGUCAAUGGAGGCAACUCUGAACCAGCCAUGCCGCGUGCAGGAAGACAGCCCUCUGGGUCGUAAACUGCUUUUAUUCGGGAAUAAACCUAUCUACGUGUAGAUAGCUGAAUGUACCGAAGGAAUAAGGAUCGGCUAACUCCGUGCCAGCAGCCGCGGUAAUACGGAGGAUCCAAGCGUUAUCCGGAUUUAUUGGGUUUAAAGGGUGCGUAGGCGGCUUUUUAAGUCAGGGGUGAAAGACGGUGGCUCAACCAUCGCAGUGCCCUUGAUACUGAAGAGCUUGAAUGA